rnacentral:rRNA from 1 species
UUUGUUUAUAUAUUGAUAAUGACAGUAUAUAUAUCGUGUCUUGACUAAUUGCGUGCCAGCAGUCGCGGUAAUACGUAAGAGACUAGUGUUAUUCAUCUUAAUUAGGUUUAAAGGGUACCCAGACGGUCAAUAUAGCUUAUAAAAUGUUAGUACUUGACUAGAGUUUUAUGUAAGAGGGCAGUACUUGAGGAGGAGAGAUGAAAUUUCGUGAUACCAAAGGGACUCUGUAAAGGCGAAGGCAGCCCUCUAUGUAAAAACUGACGUUGAAGGACGAAGGCACAGAGAACAAACAGGAUUAGAUACCCAAGUAGUCUUUGCAGUAAAUGAUGAAUGCCAUAGGUUAGAUUGGUCAAUUAUAGUCUAGGGUUAGUCUAGCAAACUAAUGCCCUAUGCUAUAAUUCCAAAUAUCUGGUCUAUAAAUGAAAGUGUAAGCAUUUCACCUCAAGAGUAAUGUGGCAACGCAGGAACUGAAAUCACUAGACCGUUUCUGACACCAG